ACACUCCUGCGGGAGGCAGCAGUAGGGAAUCUUCCACAAUGGGUGCAAACCUGAUGGAGCAAUGCCGCGUGAGUGAAGAAGGUCUUCGGAUCGUAAAGCUCUGUUGUUAGAGAAGAACACGUGCUAGGUAACUACUAGCGCCUUGACGGUAUCUAACCAGAAAGUCACGGCUAACUACGUGCCAGCAGCCGCGGUAAUACGUAGGUGACAAGCGUUGUCCGGAUUUAUUGGGCGUAAAGGGAGCGCAGGCGGUCUGUUUAGUCUAAUGUGAAAGCCCACGGCUUAACCGUGGAACGGCAUUGGAAACUGACAGACUUGAAUGUAGAAGAGGAAAAUGGAAUUCCAAGUGUAGCGGUGGAAUGCGUAGAUAUUUGGAGGAACACCAGUGGCGAAGGCGAUUUUCUGGUCUAACAUUGACGCUGAGGCUCGAAAGCGUGGGGAGCGAACAGGAUUAGAAACCCCGGUAGUCCCAUGA
rnacentral:rRNA from 1 species